AUAGAGAGGUCUGUCCUGAAAAGGAAGCUGUUAAAUCACACAAAAUGGUAGUGUACGGUUUUCAAAAAUUAAAUAUUCAGAGUUAAAAUCUUCAUGUUCUGCUGUUAAAUAAAAAAUCCGACAAAAAUAUACUGUAUUUUGCCGUUCUAAAAGUUUGUCGGAGUGUCAUUUUGUGUAAACUUUCCCAAAAGCGUGCUAAUCCCCUAUGUUGUGUGGAGCUGAACACCUAUGAUUGCAGGAUAUGCGCAGUAUGGUCUCAUGGGACGCAAUGAUUGCAGGAUAUGCGCAGUAUGGUGGUUUAUGGAAGAAGCUUUCAGGAUUUUGAAAGAAAUGCCUCAAGAAAUGUGGUUUCGUGGGCUACCAUUGUUGCAGGGUAUGCACAAAACGGAUUUGUUGAAAAGAUUUUGAAACUUUUAGGCAAAACGCGAAUUGCAAGUCUAAAGCCGGACACCACAACCUUCGCUUGCAUCCUUGCUGCUAGGUAACGCAAUGAGAGCUUUUGAACAGGUUACGGACGCCCAUCAAAGCAUAAUAAAAUGGCGCGAGAAAGGGUGUUCUGUCAGAUUGUUGGAUGCCCAUUGAAGCAGAGAGGAUAGAGGAAUUUCGUGAGAGAGGGAUGUGCAGAAAUCUAUCAUGGGAAUUCAUGGAGGAGGAGCUCGUGGAGCUCUGUAAACCCUUUGGCAAAAUCGUCACCACUAAAUGCAACGUGGGAGCCAACCACAACCAGGCCUUCGUUGAAUUUGUGAUCGAUCACCAAACUUCUAUAGUUCCAAGAAUCGGUUCGCUGUGUAAUAUAAUCAUCUUCCAGUCCAUUGCAAAUGAACACAUCAUUAAGUGGAUCCAAUAUGGUAAAUUCUGCAAAAGUAUGUUGAUGUGUAUGUGUUUAAUUGGGCCUUUGAAGCAUAUUUAUUCAUGUCAGAGUACAGUUGGCAUAAUGGAGCAGUCCUUUGCUUAGCAAUUGAAGCCCAUGGAUAGGUGAUAACAUUUUGUCAAGUGUAGUAGAUUAGCACCUUUUGAAUUGUAUUCAGUCCAUCCUUAAAUAUGAACUCCUUAGUACCAUGUGCUAAGUGUAUGUUUGAACCAUAACAAAUUCUUAUUGUGUUUCUACAAAUAUUGCUUGUAUACUAAAAAUGUUGCGGGCAAAUUCUUGGUAGGAUCUAUUUGAAAAGGUUCCAGAUUUGGAAGAAAUGCAAAUUUUUUGAGUGUAUUACCUUUCAAAACCAUAAUUCCUCAUUGUUUGUCGAUUGUAGUUUUGUGAGACUUCCUACUGACUUGAGUUGAGAAUGUAGACUUUCAAUAACUUUUGUAAUUCUGUGCAGUUUGGUAUAGAGGGAGGGAAUGACCCACUUAGCUUGUCACUAGUAGUUAUAGUUUAUUUAGUUUAUCAAAUUUAGAUAGAAUCAAUCCCUCUAAAUUCAGCGUUUUGUGACUUAUAAAAUUGUAUGAAACAUCUUUUAGAAAGGAAAUGUUAUAUAAAGAUGAGGGAAUACUUCUUACGAGUUGAUUUCUAAAAAGAUUUAGCCAUUCUAGAGAAGAGAUAUUAAACAGAAGGGAAUGUUUUUUUGGAGUUGAUUCUUAGAAAGAGAGCUAUCACAAAUAGACAACUUGGAGAAGAGAGAUUACUUGAACAAGAGGGUAUUCUUCUAUUCAAUUGGUUGAAAGCAAGUUAAACCCCACUAGGGUUGGUUAGACUAUUGAGCAUACACAUAGUAUUAAGGAUGGUUUCACCUACCAAAUUGUUUUCUUAUAAAUCAAGGAAAGAAAAGACAUGUUGCAAAAUGACAAUGACAUGUUCCACUAAAGCUAUACUCACCUAAGUGCGAUGGUUAUGUGAGAAAAAUCUUAAUAUGUUGUAAGAGAGUCUAUGCCUGUAAGAAACAAGAGUUUGCACAAGCAAUGAGAUAUGAUGCUCCUUCAAUUGAUUGAAUGGUAUCACAUUGCUUCUAGGAUAUAUCAUCUUAGAUGCACCAAUCUCUUCCUUGCUCCCAUGAACUUAGAUAGUGAUGGGAGUCAUUUAAAUGAACUUUGAAAAUUUGAAGAGCCUGGCUUACUCAAUAUAUCUAUGGUAAAAGUGAAGAAGAAACGAUUAGAUACGAAAAUAAGAAUAGCUUGGCUAUGAGAGUUUGGGUUUAUCAACUUGUGAUUUGGCAAGGUAAUGAGAAGGAAAGCAAUGUAAAAGAGAUGAGGUGUUAACACAAGGUACACGGUUGUGAAAUAACCACAAUUCAUGUGUUAAAUACUCUACAUAAUUUUCUCAUUACUUUCUAUACAAGUGGGACAACAUGCACACGUUCCUACACAUUUCACACCUUAUCUACAUGGAUGGUCAUAUAACUGAUAUAUUCACCUCUAUUAUGCAUUAAUUACACAUAUCUAUACAUUCAUUGCAUAGAUUCAUUAUCCACCUGUUGUGACGUAUUCACACAUCGCCCCAUUGCAAAUGGGUACCCCUGCUUUUUAUUCGCUGUGGGGUUUUGCUUUCUGGGUUUUAGAGUUUUGUCUGUUAGCCUUUGCUGUUCGAGUGUCGCUAGGGGGAUCACCUGGAUAGCAGGCUCUGCUUGAGCUAGGUCAAGUUGGUGAGUGAUGAAGUCGGGAAUGUCAUCCUGAUCUUCAAAUGCCCUGAAAUUUGGCUAAGUUUGGAAUGUCCUGAUCCUGAAAUUUGGCUAAGUUUGGAAUGUCCUGAUCUUGAAAUUUGACUAAGUCUGGAAAACUGAAGAAUCCUCCAAAAACUAGAUUUUGCAAUAUAACUCCUGGAGGUCCGAAACCACUCUCAAACAUCCUGACAGUAUAUAUGGAAUAUUCACUUAUACUUGAAUGUUAUAUUCCAUAAAAUGAUCCUGACGGAGAGUCUGAAAUGUCAAAUUUCGCUCUUGACCCUUCCAAAGGGUCCAAAGCGAAUUUCACUCCUGGCCCUUCCAAAGGGUCCAGAGCGAAAUUCUUUAAAACACUAAUUUUUCCUUUAGCCAAAGUCAGGAUCAAGAUGGAGAUGCAUGAGGAAGUAUCUAUGUUUGCCUCCCAAGGAAGAUUAGAGUUUGAAAAAUCAAGAAUCAAGGUCAAAACAUGAUUUUCGCUCCUGACCCUUGCAAAGGGUUCAGAGCGAAAAUCCUUAUAACCCUUGUUUUUUUCCUUAUUUUGGCUAGGCGUUGGCUUGAUGGAGGUUGAAUGGGUAUGUUUUUGCCUUGAGAGGGAGUUAGAAGCUUUGAAGAAUCAAGAUUUUAGCUCAAAAGGAGAAUUUCGCUCUUGACCCUUCCAAAGGGUCCAGAGCGAAAUUCCCUAUAAACUUCAUUUGCUCCCUUGUUUUAGCUUGAAACCUUGCUCCUUAGAUGGAAAACGAUCUAUAUUUGCCUCCAGGAGAAAACUGAAGUUUGAAAAAUGAACAAUCAAGCCCAAAUGGUGAUUUUCGCUCCUGACCCUUCCAAAUGGUCCAGAGCGAAAAUCAACCUAAGACUCAUUUCUUGCCUUAUUUGACCAAAUUUUGAUUUGUAAGGCAUCUUGAAGGGAAGAGUGGACAUGUUUGGACGUUGUAAAUGUUUGAAAGCUUUGAAAAAAUGAAGGAUUCUAGCCAAGAAGGUGAAUUUCGCUCCUGACCCUUCCAAAGGGUCCAGAGCAAAAUUCCUUGCAAGCCUAUUUUUUUGACCUUGCUUAGACCACAAACCUUGUCUCCUGGGUGAAGAAUGAUGUUUUGUUACCUUCCAGAGAAGAUUGGAGUUGAAAAGAUGAAGGAUCAAGUCAACAAUGAGAUUUUUGCUCCUGACCCUUCCAAAGGGUCCAGAGCGAAAAUCCUCCUAGACCUCAUUUCUUUCCUUAUUUGGCCAAAUUUUGAUGUCCAAGGUAUGUUGAAAGAGAGAAUGGGCAUAUUGAAACCCUUAAGGACGUUUGAAAGAGUUGAGGAAUGAGUGUUUUAGCCAAGGAAGGAAAUUUCGCUCCUGACCCUUCCAAAGGGUCCAGAGCGAAAUUCCUUACAAGCCUAUAUUUUUUACCUUGCUUGAUCUUAAAACCUUGUUCCUAGGGCGAAGAGAGAUGAGAUUUUACCUUGCAAUGAAGAUUGGGUUUGAAAGAAUGAUGAUUUUGGUCUAAAAAGUGAAUUUCGCUCCUGACCCUUCCAAAGGGUCCAGAGCAAAAUUCCUAAAAACCCUUAUUUUCUUAGCAAAAUCAAGUCAAACUUGGGUUUCUAUAACUUGGAUGUGAGAGGAGAAGUGUUUUCUUUCCUUUUAAGGUGGAUUCAAGUUGAAAUGAUGGAGGAGUGAGCCUAAAACAAGAUUUUCGCUCCUGACCCUUCCAAAGGGUCCAGAGCGAAAAUCCUAAAACCCAUCAUUUUCUCCAAAAUUUGUGCCAAGCCAUGCCUAGACUAAGGUGAGGGGUGCCCUUGAGAUUGCCCUUGAAUUGAUUUUUGUCUCCAAAAAUGAUGAUUUUGGGCUAGAGGAAGAAAUUCGCUCCUGACCCUUCCAAAGGGUCCAGAGCAAAAUCCUCCAAGACUCUCUUUUAUCUCAAGUUUAUGCUAAGUCAAGUGUGGAUCGGAGUAAGUUGAGAUUGGAGAUGUCCUCAAGAAUGACCUUGAGUUGCUAGUAAUCAAUGAAUUGGAAGGAAUUAAGCAAAAACAAGAAUUUUGCUCCUGACCCUUCCAAAGGGUCCAGAGCGAAAUUCUUCAAAUCCAUCAUUUUCUCCUUGGAUCAAAUCAAACUUUUGGUUUUUAUGGCAUGGAUGGGAGUGAGAAGGUGUGUCCUUGCCUUUUGAAGUUGAUUGAGGUUGAAAGAACGAAGAAAUGAGCUCAAAAUGAGAAUUUCGCUCCUGACCCUUCUGAAGGGUCCAGAGCGAAAUUCUUCAUCUACCUAUUUCCUCCUUGUGUCAAGUCAAGACUAGGAGUCCUAAGGCGUAGUUGAGGUUGAAAUGAUGUUACUUUGCCCUGCAAGAUGAAUUGAAGUGAAGAAAAUGAAGAGUUGUGACCUAAAAGGUGAAUUUCGCUCCUGACCCUUCCAGAGGGUCCAGAGCGAAAUUCCCAAUUUCACUCAAAUUGCUCAUGAUAGAGGUCAAGGCGUGGAUCCCUGGGCUCUGGAAGAAGGAAAACUAGUGUGUGCUCGCCUUGGAAGGUAUUUUGGAGAGGAAACAUGAUAGAUUUUGUCCUAAAAAGUGAAUUUCGCUCCUGACCCUUCCAAAGGGUCCAGAGCGAAAUUUUUAAAAACCUCUCUUUUGCCCCAAAUUUGCAUCAAGAUUGGUGUUGGUUGAGAAUGAGGGCGUCCUUGGGCAUGUAUCUAAGCAAGUGUAGUUGCAAAGUGAGAACAAUUUGGGCCAGGAAUUCAAAUUUCGCUCCUGACCCUUCUAGAGGGUCCAGGGUGAAAUCCUUAUAGGGCCUAUCCCUGGGGAGAAUAUUGAGCAAGCUUCAUUUUAACAUCUUCUUGUUGAUGAUUUAAGGUAGAAAAUGCUAUGUUGAAAUAAAUUUAUUAUGUGUCCUUAAUCAUCUUUUGGUUUGUC